ACGCUGGCGGCGUGCCUAAUACAUGCAAGUAGAACGCUGAAGGAGGAGCUUGCUUCUCUGGAUGAGUUGCGAACGGGUGAGUAACGCGUAGGUAACCUGCCUGGUAGCGGGGGAUAACUAUUGGAAACGAUAGCUAAUACCGCAUAACAGUAGAUGUUGCAUGACAUUUGCUUAAAAGGUGCAAUUGCAUCACUACCAGAUGGACCUGCGUUGUAUUAGCUAGUUGGUGGGGUAACGGCUCACCAAGGCGACGAUACAUAGCCGACCUGAGAGGGUGAUCGGCCACACUGGGACUGAGACACGGCCCAGACUCCUACGGGAGGCAGCAGUAGGGAAUCUUCGGCAAUGGACGGAAGUCUGACCGAGCAACGCCGCGUGAGUGAAGAAGGUUUUCGGAUCGUAAAGCUCUGUUGUAAGAGAAGAACGAGUGUGAGAGUGGAAAGUUCACACUGUGACGGUAUCUUACCAGAAAGGGACGGCUAACUACGUGCCAGCAGCCGCGGUAAUACGUAGGUCCCGAGCGUUGUCCGGAUUUAUUGGGCGUAAAGCGAGCGCAGGCGGUUAGAUAAGUCUGAAGUUAAAGGCUGUGGCUUAACCAUAGUACGCUUUGGAAACUGUUUAACUUGAGUGCAAGAGGGGAGAGUGGAAUUCCAUGUGUAGCGGUGAAAUGCGUAGAUAUAUGGAGGAACACCGGUGGCGAAAGCGGCUCUCUGGCUUGUAACUGACGCUGAGGCUCGAAAGCGU
rnacentral:rRNA from 1 species